rnacentral:rRNA from 1 species
AGUACGGCUCGCAAGGAUUAAAACUCAAAGGAAUUGACGGGGACCCGCACAAGCGGUGGAUGAUGUGGAUUAAUUCGAUGCAACGCGAAAAACCUUACCUACCCUUGACAUGUCUGGAAUGCCGAAGAGAUUUGNNAGUGCUCGCAAGAGAACCGGAACACAGGUGCUGCAUGGCUGUCGUCAGCUCGUGUCGUGAGAUGUUGGGUUAAGUCCCGCAACGAGCGCAACCCUUGUCAUUAGUUGCUACG